rnacentral:rRNA from 1 species
CCUACGGGAGGCAGCAGUGGGGAAUAUUGCACAAUGGGCGUAAGCCUGAUGCAGCCAUGCCGCGUGUGUGAAGAAGGCCUUCGGGUUGUAAAGCACUUUCAGCGGGGAGGAAGGCGGUGAGGUUAAUAACCUCAUCGAUUGACGUUACCCGCAGAAGAAGCACCGGCUAACUCCGUGCCAGCAGCCGCGGUAAUACGGAGGGUGCAAGCGUUAAUCGGAAUUACUGGGCGUAAAGCGCACGCAGGCGGUCUGUCAAGUCGGAUGUGAAAUCCCCGGGCUCAACCUGGGAACUGCAUUCGAAACUGGCAGGCUAGAGUCUUGUAGAGGGGGGUAGAAUUCCAGGUGUAGCGGUGAAAUGCGUAGAGAUCUGGAGGAAUACCGGUGGCGAAGGCGGCCCCCUGGACAAAGACUGACGCUCAGGUGCGAAAGCGUGGGGAGCAAACAGGAUUAGAUACCCUAGUAGUC